rnacentral:rRNA from 1 species
GAUGAACGCUAGCGGCAGGCCUAAUACAUGCAAGUCGAACGGGAUUGAGGAGCUUGCUCCUCAUGAGAGUGGCGCACGGGUGCGUAACACGUAUGUAACCUACCUUAAUCAGGGGAAUAGCCUCUCGAAAGAGAGAUUAACACCGCAUAAAAUCACACUAUGGCAUCAUAGAAUGAUCAAAUAUUUAUAGGAUUAAGAUGGGCAUGCGGAACAUUAGCUAGUUGGUAAGGUAACGGCUUACCAAGGCUACGAUGUUUAGGGGAUCUGAGAGGAUGGCCCCCCACACGGGUACUGAGACACGGACCAGACUCCUACGGGAGGCAGCAGUAAGGAAUAUUGGUCAAUGGGCGGAAGCCUGAACCAGCCAUGCCGCGUGCAGGAAGACGGCCCUACGGGUUGUAAACUGCUUUUGUACCGGAAUAAACCUUUCUACGUGUAGGAAGCUGAAUGUACGGUAAGAAUAAGGAUCGGCUAACUCCGUGCCAGCAGCCGCGGUAA